rnacentral:rRNA from 1 species
GACGAACGCUGGCGGCGUGCCUAAUACAUGCAAGUCGAACGAGAGCGACCGGUGCUUGCACUGGUCAAUCUAGUGGCGAACGGGUGAGUAACACGUGGGUAACCUGCCCAUCAGAGGGGGAUAACAUUCGGAAACGGAUGCUAAAACCGCAUAGGUCUUCGAACCGCAUGGUUUGAAGAGGAAAAGAGGCGCAAGCUUCUGCUGAUGGAUGGACCCGCGGUGCAUUAGCUAGUUGGUGAGGUAACGGCUCACCAAGGCCGUGAUGCAUAGCCGACCUGAGAGGGUGAUCGGCCACAUUAGGACUGAGACACGGCCCAAACUCCUACGGGAGGCAGCAGUAGGGAAUCUUCCGCAAUGGACGCAAGUCUGACGGAGCAACGCCGCGUGAGUGAAGAAGGUUUUCGGAUCGUAAAACUCUGUUGUUAGAGAAGAACAAGUGCUAGAGUAACUGUUAGCGCCUUGACGGUAUCUAACCAGAAAGCCACGGCUAACUACGUG